rnacentral:rRNA from 1 species
GACAGAGGUGGCAAGCGUUGUUCGGAAUUACUGGGCUUAAAGGGCGCGUAGGUGGUGAUAUAAGUCCGGGGUGGAAGGCUGAGGCUUAACCUUGGAAUUGCCCUGGAAACUGUAUCACUUGAGUCAGCGAGGGGAUGGCGGAAUUCCUGGUGUAGCGGUGAAAUGCGUAGAUAUCAGGAGGAAGGCCGGUGGCGAAGGCGGCCAUCUGGCGCUGAACUGACACUGAGGCGCGAAAGCGUGGGGAGCAAACAGGAUUAGAUACCCUGGUAGUCCACGCCCUAAACGGUGGGCACUAGGUGUAGGGCUCGUAAGGGUUCUGUGCCGAAGGGAAACCAUUAAGUGCCCCGCCUGGGGAGUACGGCCGCAAGGUUGAA